UGUGUUCUCCUUCUGUGCCUCAUUCCCUCGUUAUCCCUCUGUGUAUUUAAGCCUUGUGUUUGCUUCUGUUAGUUGCUGGUUUGUCUGCGUAUCCCCCUCCGUCAUCUUGUGUGGUUUCCCCUGUAUCUGUGUUUCAUGUUUCAGGUUUGUUUUUGCUUAGCUUUUCCCAGUUUAGGUUAUUCUUAAGUUUUGGUUAAUGUCCACCGCGUUCCUGUUUGUUUUUCCCUUCAUAUUACAGUUUUUUUUCUAUUGGUUUUGCACAGUUUUCACAAGCAAUUGGUACAUUUCCAAAACUCUUAGUACUUAUAUCACAACAGAUCAUCAAAAGUGCACCGUUUUCAAACAUUUCAGCAUAUUUUCAAUUGUGUUAGUACAAUACACAUAAUGACAAAAUAUCCUUGACACUACACAAAAUAAGUGUUUCAUCUAAAUAAAUGUUUCGUUCACAGUUACUGCCUUUCAUAAUGUUAUCACUAUAAAAUUUUGGAUUUGCAUCUCUUAUUAGUCAGUUUAAUACAUUUGUCUGUCACUUCAUUCAACUGAUCUUAAUGUUUAAUCAAUGAAUCAUUCAUUAUGUCCAUGGAUUUCCAACUUGACUGAUUGUUGUCUGGUCAUUUGUAAGUUACACAUUGCUGCAAGAGCUUUCGAUCUAGAAAUACUAAUUGCUAAUUGUUUCCCCCUGAUGAUCACAAUUAGUUACCAUAUAAGUAGAACUGUGUUUGAGACUUUGCACUGUUCAAAUAUGGAGCAGGAUAGACUCGUAGGGAGAGGAAACCUUCAUCGGAGAGGUGGUGCUCCUCCUCGACAGAGAGGUGGUCUUCAGAGAAAUGUAGGCAGAAGACAAUGCACCAUCAUCUCUAAUGAAGUCCGGGCCAUCAUUGUUGACCAUGUGGUUAAUAGAGGCUUUACCAUGGCUGAGGCUGCCAGGUUGGUACAGCCUAAUUUACAAAGGUCAACUGUCAGCUCUAUCAUCAGAACUUUUCGCCAAGAAAACCGAAUUAACAGGAGACAACCUGGUGGUGGUGGCCCACGUGUUUUGACUGACCAGCAGGAGUUGGCUGUGGUGGAAAUGGUCAGGGCAAGGAAUUGACAUACGGCUGUCUGAAAUCAAACAGGCUGUUGAGAACAGCAAUGACACCUUUGCCAAUGUGCCAUCAAUUAGCCUUCCAACGAUUGCCUGGCUUUUGAAGAAGCACCAGGUUUCCAUGAAACAAAUUUACUUGGUUCCUUUUGAGAGGAACAAUGUCCGGGUGAAACAACUGCGUUCAGAAUAUAUUCAGGUACAACACUAAACUGGCAUGCAAUUACUGUAACAGUACUGACAACUAUUAGUUGU